rnacentral:rRNA from 1 species
AUUGAACGCUGGCGGCAGGCCUAACACAUGCAAGUCGAGCGGAUGAAGGGAGCUUGCUCCUGGAUUCAGCGGCGGACGGGUGAGUAAUGCCUAGGAAUCUGCCUGGUAGUGGGGGAUAACGUCCGGAAACGGGCGCUAAUACCGCAUACGUCCUGAGGGAGAAAGUGGGGGAUCUUCGGACCUCACGCUAUCAGAUGAGCCUAGGUCGGAUUAGCUAGUUGGUGGGGUAAAGGCCUACCAAGGCGACGAUCCGUAACUGGUCUGAGAGGAUGAUCAGUCACACUGGAACUGAGACACGGUCCAGACUCCUACGGGAGGAAGCAGUGGGGAAUAUUGGACAAUGGGCGAAAGCCUGAUCCAGCCAUGCCGCGUGUGUGAAGAAGGUCUUCGGAUUGUAAAGCACUCUAAGUUGGGAGGAAGGGCAGUAAGUUAAUACCUUGCUGUUUUGACGUUACCAACAGAAUAAGCACCGGCUAACUUCGUG